rnacentral:tRNA from 1 species
GCCUCUGCAGCUCAGCUGGUUAGAGCGCUGCACCGGAAUCGCAGGGCCGUAGGUUCAAUUCCUACCAGAGGAC